rnacentral:rRNA from 1 species
GAGCUGUAGCAGGUUCCAAGGGUUUGGCUGUUCGCCAAUUAAAGCGGUACGCGAGCUGGGUUCAGAACGUCGUGAGACAGUUCGGUCCCUAUCUGUCGCGGGCGCAGGAUAUUUGAGAGGAUCUGUCCUUAGUACGAGAGGACCGGGAUGGACGAACCUCUAGUGCACCAGUUGUCAUACCAAUGGCACAGCUGGGUAGCCAAGUUCGGCAGGGAUAAACGCUGAAGGCAUCUAAGCGUGAAACCCACCUCAAGAUGAGAUAUCCCACUAGCAAUAGGUAAGACCCCAUGUAGACUACAUGGUUGAUAGGUCAGGAGUGUAAGCAUAGUAAUGUGUUAAGCUGACUGAUACUAAUAGGUCGAGGGUUUGACCCAAAG